AACUAGGUUGGCACCCCGGGGAACCUCCAUCCUAUACAGCCACACUCAAAUUUUAUUAAAAAAGGGGGAAAAAUAAUUACAAAGAGGGGGGACUAGGCCAAAACCCUCAUAAACAAAAAAAGAACAAAGAAAAGAAAUCACAGACUAAGGAAAUCUAUAAUUAGGAAGUCCACAUCUAUCACGAAAAAACUCAAAUCCUAAAGCAGGUGGUAGAGAAGAAUGCCAAACCGCAUUGGUGAUGGAAUGACCAAGGUUUGCUAACCUGUCAGCACAAACAUCACCUUCACGAUAUAUGUGGGAUGAAAUAACCUGAACUCCUAGGCGAAGAGCAUUGUGCCAUCGAUUGCGAAGCAUAAUAGGAACCAACGAGGGAGACUUAAAGACCGCAAUGGCACUGAU
rnacentral:lncRNA from 1 species